AUAACGACCUCAUCAUCCCUUGGAGAACCGUGGAGGCGCCGCGAAGGCUUCUGGGUAGCGGAGUCCGAGUGCUCGGCGAGCGCAGGCGUAGUGGGAACCCGGCCCGGGCCCAGAGGGAGGGAGGGAGCGAAGGAAGGAAGCGGCCUUUGUCCCGUUCCGGACGCCGCGAGCGCGGCCGGGGGGCUCUGUUCUGCAUCAGCUCUCUGCCGAUGACUCUGGAUCCCCAGAUGGAGAGGAGAGAGCCCUGGGCCAGCAGGUGGGGGACCUGGGCUCUCCCCCUGACUCACCAUGUGACCUUGGGGAAGUCACUUGCCCUCUGUGGACCCCAGCGUCCCUGCCUUAAAAGUGGCCACACUGCAGGAGAACUGGAGAGCAUCAAGGGAGGGAGUGUGACCCCAGAGGAAUGUGGAGUCCAGGUUCUAGGGGACAAGGGAUCUGAGGAUGGUUCUCCAACCAUCACGUCUGCAUCAGAGGCCCCCUGGAUGUUGAGGAAAGAGAGCCGGGCUCUACCCUUGCUUCAUUGCGCAACCUUGGCUCCUCCAUCUCCAGACUGCCCUCUGCCCCCAGAGGAGCAUGGAAUGGCUGCCAGACUCCUUCCAGCCAGGGCCCAGGUAAGUUGGGUUCUCACAUCUUUUUGCAGACCACCCCUCAGCCUCUCUCUCCCGGACACCUUCUGCCAGCAUCCCAUCCAGGGAGGCGAGCCCGGGCUCUGUGGAGGCUCGGCCCUCCGAGGAAGCAGCAGGGUGACCUCCCUGUGGCUCUCCUGGCCUCUCUCCUGUCUUUGGGACCGCAGCCUCUUGUCAGUGACCAUUCAGUGACAGAUCUGUCGCAGUGACCAGCCCCCUCUCCCUUUGUGUGACUCUCUCUGUGUGUCCCUGCACCCUCUCUCAGGAGUUCCUUCCAUGCCUGUGUCUGUAUGGGGCUGGCUGAGACAGCCUGGGCCCUCACAGCUCUGAGGCAGCCGUGGGCUAGCCUGGGAAAGCCUUUGGAGCAGGAGUGGGGGGCCUUGCUGUCACUACAGGUGCCUGGGCAGGAACUAGAUGGCCCUUUGGCAGGGAUGGCACAGCUCAGGCAGAAAUGUCUUUGGAGGUCACUUCGGCUCCGAGAGUCUAGUAUUCUCAGAACCUCCUCAUACUCAGAACAGUCCAGAAAUGAAAUGGGUUCCUUUGAUAGGUAGUAAGCUCCCCGUCACUGCUAGGUAUGCAGAUAGAGACUGGAAAAGAGGCGAGAUGCCCCUGAGGGUCCCUGAUGAAGCCAUCGCCUCACUCUUUCUGUCGUUCUGACUAUAUCUGUGUCUCAGUCAGCAGGCAUAAUACCUCCUCUGUGCCAUGCGCUGUUCUAGGUACUGCGGAGGGAAAAAGACAAGUGAGCCAGUCCCUGCCCUUGGGCAGCUCACACUUUACCAGGACUACCAAUGUUGGGUGACUUGGCCCCAGUUCUCUGUGCCGAUAGCUGGGGGUUCUGGGUGGGAAACUUGGCUCUGGCCCUGGGCCAGUCACCAGGACCCCUGGGGCCCGUGUUACCUCCUCAUACACUGACC
rnacentral:lncRNA from 1 species